AGCAGCCGCGGUAAUUCCAGCUCCAAUAGCGUAUAUUAAAGUUGUUGCAGUUAAAAAGCUCGUAGUUGAAUUUCGGGGUUAGUAGGUCGGUCAUGCCUCAGGUAUGUACUGGUCUCACUGAUUCCUCCUUCCUGAUGAGCCGUAAUGCCAUUAAUUUGGUGUUGCGGGGAAUCUGGACUGUUACUUUGAAAAAAUUAGAGUGUUUAAAGCAGGCUAACGCUUGAAUACAUUAGCAUGGAAUAAUGGAAUAGGACGUUCGAUCCUAUUUUGUUGGUUUCUAGGAUUGACGUAAUGAUUAAUAGGGAUAGUUGGGGGCAUUAGUAUUCAAUUGUCAGAGGUGAAAUUCUUGGAUUUAUUGAAGACUAACUACUGCGAAAGCAUUUGCCAAGGAUGUUUUCAUUAAUCAAGAACGAAAGUUAGGGGAUCGAAGACGAUCAGAUACCGUCGUAGUCUUAACCAUAAACUAUGCCGACUAGGGAUCGGAUGAUGUUAAUUUUUUAAUGACUCAUUCGGCGCCUUACG
rnacentral:rRNA from 1 species